GACGAACCGUCCGAACGUUAUUCGGAAUUACUGGGCGUAAAGGGCUCGUAGGCGGCCAACUAAGUCAGACGUGAAAUCCCUCGGCUUAACCGGGGAACUGCGUCUGAUACUGGAUGGCUUGAGUUCGGGAGAGGGAUGCGGAAUUCCAGGUGUAGCGGUGAAAUGCGUAGAUAUCUGGAGGAACACCGGUGGCGAAGGCGGCAUCCUGGACCGAGACUGACGCUGAGGAGCGAAAGCCAGGGGAGCAAACGGG
rnacentral:rRNA from 1 species